AUUAAUAAAAUUCAAGUUGACUAAAAGGUAACAAGUUAUUUGACAUUAUAAACGUAUCCUCUGAAUAUCAACAGUAAUUCCCUAACACUGAUAAGACUGAGAAAAGUUAGCUUUCACUAUUACUUAACAUCUCCAUAGUCACUGUUACAGGAGUGAAUUAGUUCAUAUUUAUGAAUGACUUAUACACCCACUAUGGAGAGGGUUUCUUGCUAGGAAGAUAAUCAGGAAACUAAAUUGGUAAAAAUAAGAAGCUUGAGAAAUUUGAAGUUUGUAGUUUUUCUGAACUCUGUUGCUGGAGUACUCCAAAAAG
rnacentral:lncRNA from 1 species